rnacentral:tmRNA from 5 species
GGGGGUGACUGGCUUCGACGGGGAUCAGGAGGUCAACGGUGCGUGUCGAGCUCUCGGAGUCUCGUUAAACCUUCGGGAACCUUAUAAUUGCCAACGAAGAAUUGGCUCUCGCAGCGUAAUCACGACUGCGACGUCUCCCCAUGCUUUGUCUGCGGGCAUGGAUGAGGCGCUACUUCAGCAGGCUGGUCCAAUGUUGGUGCUCAGCAACGGCGGAUGAGAUUUUUCUGGGCUAGCGAACGUUCUAAGCCGGUCAGUGGGCGUGGACGGUUGCGAAUCUUAAAACAUUGACUACACACGUAGGACCGUUGUGCUGAAUAUCUUCGGACGCGGGUUCAAACCCCGCCACCUCCACCA